AUACCUUUCUCGGCCUUUUGGCUAAGAUCAAGUGUAGUAUCUGUUCUUAUCAAUUUAAUAUCUGAUAUGUGGGCAUAGCCCACUUUGAUAUUAAAUUUAUUUUUUAUGGGGGAGAGUCCACAAUAAUGGCUUGCCAUUAGGACUCUUUUGUGUCGCCCAGGUAUUGCACUACUGCCUAGGCCUGGCACACCCCAA